CAAUAGCGUAUAUUAAAGUUGUUGCAGUUAAAAGCUCGUAGUUGGAUUUCGGAGUGGGCCAGUUGGUCCGCCGCAAGGUGUGUUACUGACUGGUUUGCUCUUCUUCGCAAAGACUGCGUGUGCUCUUGAGUGAGUGUGCGUAGAAUUUACGACGUUUACUUUGAAAAAUUAGAGUAUUCAAAGCAGGCUAUUGCUUGAAUACAUGAGCAUGGAAUAAUGGAAUAGGACUUUGGUCCCAUUUUGUUGGUUUUCGGAGCGCGAGGUAAUGAUUAAGAGGGACAGACGGGGGCGUCCGUACUCUGCCGUUAGAGGUGAAAUUCUUGGAUCGGCGGAAGACGAACUACUGCGAAAGCAUUCGCCAAGAAUGUUUUCUUUAAUCAAGAGCGAAAGUCAGAGGUUCGAAGAUGAUCAGAU
rnacentral:rRNA from 1 species